rnacentral:pre_miRNA from 1 species
GAAAGUUAAGAAACUGUUUCUUAACUUUUAACUAAAAAAGCUAAGAACCGGUUCUUAAAUAAGGACUUUAAGAACCGGUUCUUAACUUUUUUAGUUAAAAGGUAAGAAACAGUUUCUUAACUUCC